GGAUGGUAUAACCGACAGUUCAUAAAAGAUUAGGCUUAAUAUGUCAUAGGAUUCCAUGGUUGAAAACGACCUGCAGUGAUGGUGUAUUGGAAUCAAACUUCGUCUCUAGAAUGCCCUUUGAGCUACCAGUGAUGGCUACACAUUUACCCUAAACGGAUAUUGCGUAGCGAUGAGGGCUGUGGUGGCCGCCCGACAGUGACAAAAAGAAAGAGAAAAAUGGUACCCUCGCCUGCACAAACAACAAAACAAAGAGUUUACUCUUGCAGAUGUGAGAAAUUUAAACGUGGAACAUCUUGAUCAGUUCAGUCCAGAAUAUGUAGGAUUUGGUGAAUUUGGGACGAGAAUAUGAUUGAAAUGAAGGGUUGUGUGAGCAAUGCAAAGAGAUUGUAGAUGAAAGGCUCACUCUCUGAGUGCUUGAAGAGAAAAUCAAGAUCCUAACCUUCUGUCUCUCUCUCUCUUUCUUUCACGCGCGUGCGUACUCAGAAAAAUCUCUCCCGUGGACAGACACACGUACAACACCCUAAUCAAAUUUGCAGAAACAUUUUCUGCUACAGCUGCCUAAAUUGCAGAUAUAUAUUUAAAUAUUUCUGUAUCCAUUUUUCCUAAUUUCAUCUUUUUUUUAAGUUCAACAAUUGCAGGGUGAGGAUCGAACCAACGAACUUUAGACUAAACUAUGCUCGGAUUAAUGUAUAUGUUCGAAUUCCAACCCUUUAACCGAACGAGUGUAAAUUGAGAAGAAAGUAGGUUGCGUGCAACGCAGCUACAAAGACAGGCUUCAAAAUUCUGCAAUUCAGGUGAAGAAGGUGAGACAUGACAGUGGUGAAACAAAGUAAAGGUGAUCAGAAUUUUAUGUGUAUAUUCUUCUUCAACACACACACACACACACACACACACACACGUCAAAAUAUGAUAUAACCCAAUGGGUAAUAGAGAGCCCUAAAUUAAGCUCUACCUAGCCCCAUACGCGUCAAAGGGUCUAGAUUAAUUCCUCUCUUUUUUAGCCUUUUUCUUACCUAUGGAUAGAGAAAAAAAAAAAAAAAACUAAAUUUAUAAGAACAAACAAACAAACCAAAACACGACUUUUAUUAUUUUUCUAGCAUUUCUUUUACUCAUACAAAACAAAGAGAGCUACAUAAACUUACCUCUCUUAUGUGAUCUAGGUCUUUGCCUUUUCUUUGGAAUCAAUUCAAAAGAAAAAAGAAAAGUAUAAAUAAAACAACCACCACCAAAAAACCAACUCCCUUUUACCUUUCCAGUGAGAAAGCUUUAAAACCCUUCUUCCUUUCCCUUUGAUAAACUAACUUGUGAGGGUGAUUUAGUCACUGAAUUCUGCAAAGCUCUGCUGAACAAGCUGAAACAAAACCCUAACUGGAAGAAGAAGAAAAAGAAGAAGAAGAAGAAGAGAGAAAAGAGGGAGAGAGAGAGAGAGAGAGAGAGAGAGAGAGAAGUGAAAUGAGUGACAAAAAUUGAGGGUAUUGAGUGGAGGGAAAGAUGGGGAAAAGAGUAUAUUUAGUGGAUGGGAAGAAGCAGAGAGAAGGGAAUGGAGGCAAAAGACAAGGAUAAUAAAUGGUGGGUACACUAACAAAAGAAUGACUAUGACCCUGCAUCCAAUAAUAUUAUCAUGGAUGUGGGAUUGUCUCCCUUUUUUAUUCCCUUCUAAUUUUUUUCAUGCACUCCCCAUUACACACCUCAAUACCUAUCAUUUUCAUAUAUCUAUCAUUUUUUUUCAAUUGAAUACCUCCAUUAACGUUAUAAUACCCUUUUCAACACCCAUUCAUUCAUUGCUUAAGUAACGAGUAUAAAGCUAUUGAGAUUAUACUCUUUUCAUUACACAAGUAUACUCGUUAUUUAAGCAGUGAGAAUGAAAAGAUUUGAAGUUAGAAUUUAGAUGAAAGAUUGAAAUUUGAUGAAGUGUUUUGAGUAUAUAGACAUGUAGGUUCAUGAUAGAUUCACCACCAAAAAGAAAGAAAGAAAGAAAGAAAACUGAUAGCAGGAUUUUAUCACGAUUGUACUGACCGAGGCCAUGCACUGCAACUUGCAAAAUAAACCACAUAUCUCUUUCUUUUUCUUUUGCUUUCUCUCUCUCUUUCUCUCUCUCUGUAACUUGUUUCAAAUUCAAUCAUAUCGCAUCAUACUAAAAAAAUGGUUGCUAUUAUUGCGCAUCAAUUUAUGUUUUACUUUUUAACUCCCAAUGAUCUUCUUUUGGGUGAAAUUUAAACCAGCGAUGAAAAUAACAGAGCCUCACUUGAUUUUACUGGUAAGUAAAUGGUGAAUUUUUUCAAUUAUAAUAUCAUUUGUCCCUUUGUGUGUUCAUGUGCGUAUGAUGACAUCCUAUUAUUUAGUUCAUCAUUAAAUUCUAUAACUACUGAUUGAAUUCUUCCCUUCCCUUUAUGUGAUUAUUGUUUAAUUGAUGUUUUAUUCACGUAAUCAUGUUUAGUUUGAUUAGUAAAUUACAAUUUUCUGGUUAAACAAGUUAAACAUAGAGAUACACAUCGAUCACGUGGUUGAACCAAGAAAAUAAAGAAUUUAUUUCGAUCACAUACAAAUAUAUUAAGUUAUAAAUGUGGCAUUUAAUGGGGUUAGAGCCCACCAUUUUGGUAUUGUUAGGGAAUGAAGAACAUGAUAUUUGGUGACGAAGAGAACAGACUAGUGGAUGUAAAAUCAAGUUGAUGGGGCAGGAUGUAGCUUCUUUCGGUUAGGAUGGAGCUUCUUUCGAUUCUUUCGAUUUUGGCAUAGUGGAUCUCUGGACUACUAUGUAGUUCAGCGGUAUUAUGCACCCUCUGUAAUUGUGUCAUGUCAUGUGCUUAAUUGUGAGGACUCUUAGCCACAUACAUGUACUCGUCAAAAUUUUGACCUAGAAACGCGAAUCAUUUGAAGCAUUUUCGCAAUUGACAUAUUUUUCCCUGUCUUGAUUUGAGGUUUAAGGACGAAUUUCAUCUUUAGAGGAUGAACUGUAAUUCAAAGUGAGAUUCAACAUGAACCCUAACUUUCUAUUCACUCACGAGAUUUAAGUUGUAAU